GAAUUUUGGACAACGGGCGGCAGCCUGACCCAGCCAUGCCGCGCGUGUGAAGAAGGCUUUUUGGUUGUAAACCACUUUAAGCGCGGAGGAGGAGCUCUUGGUUAACACCCAAGAUGCUUGGAUGUUAUCCGCAGAUCAUCCACCGGCUAACUCUGUCCCAGCAGCCGCGGUAAUACAGAGGGUGCAAGCGUUAAUCGGAUUUCCUGGGCGUAAAGCGCGCGUAGGUGGCCAAUUAAGUCAAAUGUGAAAUCCCCGAGCUUAACUUGGGAAUUGCAUUCGAUACUGGUUGGCUAGAGUAUGGGAGAGGAUGGUAGAAUUCCAGGUGUAGCGGUGAAAUGCGUAGAGAUCUGGAGGAAUACCGAUGGCGAAGGCAGCCAUCUGGCCUAAUACUGACACUGAGGUGCGAAAGCAUGGGGAGCAAACA
rnacentral:rRNA from 1 species